CUGGUUGAUCCUGCCAGAGGUUACUGCUAUUGGGGUCCGAUUAAGCCAUGCGAGUCGAGAGGGGUAAAGCCCUCGGCAUACUGCUCAGUAACACGCGGAUAAUCUACCCUUAGGACUGGGAUAACCCCGGGAAACUGGGACUAAUACCAGAUAAAUCAUAGAUACUGGAAUGUUCUUUGGUUGAAAGUUCAGGCGCCUAAGGAUGAGUUUGCGGCCUAUCAGGUAGUAGUGGGUGUAACGUACCUACUAGCCUACGACGGGUAAGGGUUGUGAGAGCAAGAUCCCUGAGAUGGAUUCUGAGACAUGAAUCCAGGCCCUACGGGGUGCAGCAGGCGCGAAAACUUUACACUGCGGGCAACCGCGAUAAGGGGACCCCAAGUGCCAACACCUAGUGCUGGCUGUCCCGCUGUCCAAACAACAGUGGUUAGCAAGGGCCGGGCAAGACCGGUGCCAGCCGCCGCGGUAACACCGGCGGCCCGAGUGGUAGCCGUUAUUAUUGGGUUUAAAGGGUCCGUAGCCGGCUUAUUAAGUCUCUUGGGAAAUCUGGCGGCUUAAUCGUCAGGCGUCCAAGAGAUACUGAUAGGCUUGGGACCGGGAGAGGUGGGAGGUACUCCAGGGGUAGGGGUGAAAUCUCGUAAUCCUUGGGGGACCACCGAUGGCGAAGGCAUCCCACCAGAACGGGUCCGACGGUGAGGGACGAAAGCUGGGGGCACGAACCGGAUUAGAUACCCGGGUAGUCCCAGCUGUAAACGAUGCUCGCUAGGUGUCAGGUGCGGUGCGACCGCAUCUGGUGCCGUAGUGAAAACUUGAAGCGAGUCACCUGGGAAGUACGGUCGCAAGGCUGAAACUUAAAGGAAUUGGCGGGGGAGCACUACAACGGGUGGAGCCUGCGGUUCAAUUGGAUUCAACGCCGGG
rnacentral:rRNA from 1 species